GGGAUUACCUCAGUAACGGCGAGUGAAGCGGUAACAGCUCAAAUUUGAAAGCUGGCUCUUUUAGGGUCCGCGUUGUAAUUUGUAGAAGAUGCUUCGGGUGUGGCCCCGGUCUAAGUUCCUUGGAACAGGACGUCAUAGAGGGUGAGAAUCCCGUAUGUGACUGGGUGCUUUCGCUCAUGUGAAGCUCUUUCGACGAGUCGAGUUGUUUGGGAAUGCAGCUCAAAAUGGGUGGUAAAUUUCAUCUAAAGCUAAAUAUUGGCCAGAGACCGAUAGCGCACAAGUAGAGUGAUCGAAAGAUGAAAAGCACUUUGGAAAGAGAGUUAAACAGUACGUGAAAUUGUUGAAAGGGAAGCGCUUGCAACCAGACUUGCGCGCUGAUGAUCAUCCGGGCUUUUGCCCGGUGCACUCGUCUGCGCUCAGGCCAGCAUCGGUUUCGGUGGUGGGAUAAAGGCCUUGGGAAUGUGGCUCCUCUCGGGGAGUGUUAUAGCCCUCGGUGCAAUGCCGCCAACCGGGACCGAGGACCGCGCUUCGGCUAGGAUGCUGGCGUAAUGGUUGUAAGCGACCCGUCUUGAAACACGGACCAAGGAGUCUAACAUCUAUGCGAGUGUUUGGGUGUCAAACCCAUACGCGUAAUGAAAGUGAACGGAGGUGAGAACCCUUAAGGGUGCAUCAUCGACCGAUCCUGAUGUCUUCGGAUGGAUUUGAGUAAGAGCAUAGCUGUUGGGACCCGAAAGAUGGUGAACUAUGCGUGAAUAGGGUGAAGCCAGAGGAAACUCUGGUGGAGGCUCGCAGCGGUUCUGACGUGCAAAUCGAUCGUCAAAUUUGCGUAUAGGGGCGAAAGACUAAUCGAACCAUCUAGUAG
rnacentral:rRNA from 1 species